rnacentral:rRNA from 1 species
GGCCCUUCGGGGUACUCGAGCGGCGAACGGGUGAGUAACACGUGAGCAACCUGCCCCUGACUCUGGGAUAAGCCCGGGAAACUGGGUCUAAUACCGGAUACGACCGCCUCCGGCAUCGGGUGGUGGUGGAAAGUCUUUUCGGUUGGGGAUGGGCUCGCGGCCUAUCAGCUUGUUGGUGGGGUAGUGGCCUACCAAGGCGACGACGGGUAGCCGGCCUGAGAGGGCGACCGGCCACACUGGGACUGAGACACGGCCCAGACUCCUACGGGAGGCAGCAGUGGGGAAUAUUGCGCAAUGGGCGGAAGCCUGACGCAGCGACGCCGCGUGGGGGAUGACGGCCUUCGGGUUGUAAACCUCUUUCAGCAGGGACGAAGUUGACGUGUACCUGCAGAAGAAGCGCCGGCUAACUACGUGCCAGCAGCCGCGGUAAUACGUAGGGCGCAAGCGUUGUCCGGAAUUAUUGGGCGUAAAGAGCUCGUAGGUGGCUGGUCGCGUCUGCCGUGAAAGCCCGCAGCUUAACUGCGGGUCUGCGGUGGAUACGGGCCGGCUAGAGGUAGGUAGGGGCAAGUGGAAUUCCUGGUGUAGCGGUGAAAUGCGCAGAUAUCAGGAGGAACACCGGUGGCGAAGGCGGCUUGCUGGGCCUUAC